rnacentral:tRNA from 1 species
CAGGGAGACAACAAAAUGUUUAAUAUUAUUAUUUUGUCACCUUAGGUCGAUCGGUAUCUCACAUUCUUAAUUUAUUAAGAAUUUCAAUUCCUAAGUUUUUCUAGGUCACACCCAUUAUUUUUCCUGGGCCAUUAGCUCAGGUGGUUAGAGCGCACCCCUGAUAAGGGUGAGGUCCCUGGUUCAAGUCCAGGAUGGCCCAUAUCUCUAUGUUGGGGGUAUAGCUCAGUUGGUAGAGCGCCUGCUUUGCAAGCAGGAUGUCAGCGGUUCGAGUCCGCUUACCUCCACUGAUUACCACCUCUUCCAUAAUCUGGAGAAAGGAAAUGUUUUGAGUUGUGAUCAAAUACUGAACGAAUCUAGCUUCCUAAUGAAGUCAUUAAGAUGCUGGACUCAUUGAAUUAAUUUCAUUGUUUUCAGAGAACCUUGACAACUGCAUAGAUUAUUUUUUUUAAAGACAAUAAGCAUCUUUAAUGAUGCAGAUUUAUUAUUUGUGCGAACGCACUAAUAACAAUUCUAUUAAGCUGAUGCUUCAA